rnacentral:rRNA from 1 species
AGCGUAGACGGCAAGGCAAGUCUGAUGUGAAAACCCAGGGCUUAACCCUGGGACUGCAUUGGAAACUGUCUAGCUCGAGUGCCGGAGAGGUAAGCGGAAUUCCUAGUGUAGCGGUGAAAUGCGUAGAUAUUAGGAAGAACACCAGUGGCGAAGGCGGCUUACUGGACGGUAACUGACGUUGAGGCUCGAAAGCGUGGGGAGCAAACA